UUGAAGCUAUAUAGUUAUUGAUGUUUGUCUUCUUCUUUUUUCCUUUUGGCAGAUGUGAAUUGAAUGUUCAGGUUAUUUGAGCUGCCGAUUAGCUAUGACUGUGACUAUGCUGAAUACCACAGUUUGCUGGAUUUUUAAUUGGAAUUGUUGGAGCAGCUCAAGUCAAGUAAGCUCAAACAGAUCAUUUUGAAAAAGAAGUUGGAACUGGAGCAUCCACCCGACACACUAGGUGCAGCUCCCUUAGCACUACACUAUGCAAGUAUGAGAGAACUUUAGUCGCAAAUAUUUGUCUAGCAAAGAUUUGUUUGUAUCAGCUUUUGCUAUUUUUCAAUGUUAGCUAGAAUGUAGCAGCUAUCAAGCUAGCUAGAAUGCCUUCUUUUUUGGUUUUAUGGUGUGGAUACAUAAAUGUAUAGAUGAUUGACAAAGGCUGCUAGCUCUUUUGGUACACUAGACGCUUGAAUUAAAGUACUUCAUUACAUAAUAUAUAUUGAGCAUUAUAUUUGUGCAAA